CUGAUCUGCAGCUCGCCAGACUGCAGACGGUCUGGUCAGCGACUGACAUCAUGUGGGCUCUACAAGACAGCGAGGCGGGUGCUGAAUUUACACGGCUGGUAUUUUCUGGCAACAGAAUACCUGGAGUGUCAGCGCUGCCACAAGAAGCUGGCCGCGUGGUCCUAUGAUAUCCUGGACCAGCUGGAUCCGGCUCACCGCAGGAUGUUCCCAGCCAUCCUCACUUACCGGUUCUCUUGUGAUAUGCAUGUGGCAAAGUUGAUGAGGGAGCGCUCUCUCGGCAACAGCGUCUCUAUGCUGUAACACAGGCUAGUGAGGAAUGGAUGGAGAGGUCUCUGCAAUACCUCUCUGUGUGUGACCGGUUCCAGGGCACCACCACACAAGCCCAUCUCACCUCCACCACCCAAGCCGCCUGUACCAACCGCCAAGUGGCUCCUCUCUGUCCACGCAGAGGAUAUCCGGUCCCGAUAUGGUGAGCUCAAAGCCAGGGUCACCUCUGUCUUUGGGUCCAUCCUGAAGAUGGACUCCACAAAAAAGGUGGCCAAAAAACUGGCGGGAGCCGCAGCUGGGACCGCAGCCUGGGUCACCAAUGUGGGCAAUGAGCACGGACAGGUCCUCAUGUCUGUGCUCACCUCACAUGAGGGUCAGGGACUGCUGCCCAUGACCACAGGCCUGGUGAAAAGGUACGAGGCGGCUGGUGUCGCUCCCCCUACACUCCUUUAUGUGGACAGAGACUGCUGCUCUUCUGU